UGGUACUCACGAGAACGGCACAGCAGAUUCCAAAGACACAAGCAACAAUAAGGAAAGCCUUCAUGGUUCUCAAUAACCUCUUAUCUAGAGAAAGAUUAUAUUAUGUUUAAAUUGCUUUGGAUCAGAUCGUCUGCUAAAUGAACCAAGGUAUGAAAACAGCAUGUGGGAAAUGCUUUAUAAACACAUUAUCAACAUGAUGGUCACAGAGAGACAGGAGCUGGAGCAGGAGCGGGGGCAGGAGCAGGAGCUGGAGCAGGAGCGGGGGCGGGAGCUGGAGCAGGAGCAGGGGCUGGUGCAGGGGCAGAUGCCAGCUGUGCUAAGAGCAACGGUAAGAGGUUGAGGAAAGCAUUGUUGUUUUGAGGUGGCCGGUAAAUGGGUAUGUAAGAUGGAUAGGGACGCUGAAACUGGUAUGGGUUGUAGAAGCCUCCAAACCCUCUCUGCAGUAAAACCAAUAGAAAAUAGGAGGCAAAUAUAAAAAUAAAGACUAAACAAAUGACAUACAAAUGAUCCCAAAUGCAUUUAAUCACAGUGUUCUUCCAUAACACAUAUUGCAGUAAUAUUUGCUAUGAUUUGGUUAAUAUUUGCACUAAGGUAAAAAAAUAUAGUAAUACAAUUAAAAUGAAUUAAUCAAAUGGUAAUAAAUCAAGAUAUCAAGAGAACGUGCAUGUGUGUGUGCAGAGAGUCUUAGCAUUCAAACGAACCUCUGAGGAACGGCUUGAUGAGCGCUUCUCUCGUGGUUCUUCAUCUGCCUGUGAAAAUUAUUAAUUUUGUAAUUUUGUUACUUCCUAUCUGCAUAACAUUUCCCAUGUUAUAAAAAUUUUACAAAACAAUUGCACUUAAAUA